UACGGGGGGAGCAAGCGUUGUUCGGAUUUACUGGGCGUAAAGGGCGCGUAGGCGGUCAGCACAAGUCGGUUGUGAAAUCUCCGGGCUUAACUCGGAAAGGUCAACUGAUACUGUGCGACUAGAGUGCAGAAGGGGCAACUGGAAUUCUCGGUGUAGCGGUGAAAUGCGUAGAUAUCGAGAGGAACACCUGCGGCGAAGGCGGGUUGCUGGGCUGACACUGACGCUGAGGCACGAAGGUCAGGGGAGCAAACGGG
rnacentral:rRNA from 1 species